CGGCGCCAAUGUUAACGCUUGGAUCCGUUGGGGAUCUAAUUAACGAUAAGUAAAGAGAGUGAGAGAGAGAGGGUGACACGAGAUGUAUAGUGGUUCACCUCCCGCCUUAGCGGGAGACUACGUCCACUUGAAUGUGUACUAGUGUGUCGAGCCUUGCGGCCCAAGGGGAUUACAAAAGAUGUAAUGGGAUGAAUUGAAUUGUGGGAGGAGGCAUUCCUUUUAUAGGUGAAGGAAUGCUUCUCCUUUACAUUGUUUUCGAUGUGGGACAAGCAAAGAUAACUAUUCUAGUGUAGAAAGCCUAGUUGUGAGGGCAUGUUGGCAAGGCCGGGAAGGUGGCUUCCCGGCGACGGAUUUGCCACUUCUGGAUACCGUGGCGUAGCUUGCACAUAGGGCUACAAGAUGCAAGUAGCGUUUUGGAUCCCAUGAGGGUGUUGCUUAUGCUUGGUGAGGUAGCAAACUAGCCUUGCUAGUAGAGGUAUCUACACGUUCUAUAUC
rnacentral:lncRNA from 1 species